GUUGGAUGUUUCCUCAUUUCCUUUCCUAAAGGAUGGUCCAGUGUUUCCUCUGCUGAAGGAGAAAAGUUUGAAGCUCUUCUCCUCAUUUAGAGAAUUCAAACAGCUCCCUAAGUUAAAGUGCAUUUUUACUUCUGUUACACACACAUGUUAAUUAGUCCUUUGAAGGCUCUUUGUUCCAGACCUGCUGUUCACAUCUGUCUCUGGGGAUCCGAUCACAUGAAACCACGUCUCACCAGGUGUGAACUGACCAACUUAGAGUGGUGUGAUCAGCAGACGGAUGUUAACAGCAGGUGUGAGAGUGUGACAGUAAAACUUUCAGAAAGUUGUGUUCACACUCACCUGCUCACUUUCCUUCCUUCUGCUCAUCCAGGUGAAAAUGGAGUCUAACACUUCCCUGUUCUCAGGCUCCUCCUCCCUGUUGAACCAGUUCACACAUGAAACCAGUUCAAAGUCCAGUUCAUACACUGCUUCCACAGCUGUGAGGGCAACUACCACUGUUUGUGAUUCCCUGGGAUUUAUAUGUACUUUGUGAAUGUGUAUCAGCGUGUUACUCAUUAAAGGUCCGGUCGGUGUUUCCUCCUCUGACCUGCGCUCACUUUACACGUCAUCACUGAUCACAAGUUAUCAGGACACGUUCAGGACGGACGUUCACUUUGUGUCUGAUUCUCUAGAGUUCAUACACUCCAUCUGAUUGGCUGGAGGCUCAACAUCCUGCUGUUCAACAUGUUGGAGCGUCAGACUCCAGAGCUGCGUUCUAAUACUCCACUUAGGAACCUUAAUAAUUAGUAUUUACAAUUUGUAUUAAUGAAUUUUAUCUAUUUCCAUUAACUAUUUUUGUUUAUGUCCCUUGGGAACAUUUACCUGUUGCGCAUCACUCCUGCGCAUCUCCGGUGUGUGUGUAAUUUCCGCCUUCUCCUCACAUGCGUUCCACAUUGUGAGGACAAGUUGUGUUGGGAGAUGCUUUGUCGAUAUGUUUUCUAUGAAGAAUGUAUAAUUCAAGACGCAAAUACACGCUGUGAAUACAAUUGUGAGUGGUGGUCUUUCAUACCCUCAUCCACACAUCGGUUACACUGUGGAUACUUUCACACACACACACACACACACAGAGUCAUGUGAUUUCCAGUAACUGCAGAGCGGAGGAGGAGCAGCAAGUGAAAGUGAAAGUGUUCAGACUUGUUCUAACUACAAGGAGCAGACGGAGGAGACGUGAAGUCUGAGGCUGACUGAAGAUGAGUGGUUAUGAGGAGGAAGAGGAGGACAGAGCAGAGUCUCCAGGGUCCAGCUGUGUGUCUCUGAAGAGUGACCGGUCCAUGGGACAUCCUCUAGACUUCAGUAAUGAACCUGGACCCUCACACACAAAAGGUCAGGACCACAGACUGAGAGCAGAGUCUCCAGGGUCCAGCUGUGUGUCUCUGAAGAGUGACAUGUCCAUGGGACAGCCUCUAAACUUCAGUAAUGAACCUGGACCCUCACACACAGAGGAGAGGAAGAGGAGUCAUGUUUCUGAGGAGGAGCAGUCGUC